UCUUCCCGUUCCGCUUGGCGAUUGCGGCUCUUGUUCGAGCGCUUCCAGCGCCGCUUCGGUCCCAGCAAGGGCCCCAGAUUCGGCUUUGGGUGAAAGAAGAUGGCCCGAACCAAGCAGACCGCUAGGAAGUCCACCGGUGGGAAAGCCCCCCCCCCCCCGCCCCCGCAAACAGCUGGCCACCAAGGCGGCUCGGAAAAGCGCGCCCUCUACCGGCGGGGUGAAGAAGCCUCACCGCUACAGGCCAGGGACCGUGGCUCUGAGAGAGAUCCGUCGUUACCAGAAAUCGACUGAGCUGCUCAUCUGGAAGCUGCCAUUCCAGAGGUUGGUGAGGGAGAUCGCCCAGGAUUUCAAAACCGACUUGAGGUUUCAAAGUGCAGCCAUCGGUGCCCUUCAGGAGGCUAGUGAAGCAUACCUGGUGGGGUUGUUUGAAGAUACCAAUCUGUGUGCCAUCCACGCCAAGAGAGUCACCAUCAUGCCCAAAGACAUCCAG